CCGUGGACAAAACAAAUCCGCAAAGAAAAAUCUCGCAGAUCCGCUCCGCUCCGCCGCAACCUCCUCCGCACCGGCAUCUGCUCCUGCUCCUAGGAACCAUCCGCAGCACAAGGGGAGUCCGGCGGCGCUUACUCAGGGGACGCCGCCGGUCUGCUCUACAGAUGGAUGCAGCUGACGGAUGCGAUCUGUUGGGCUGGCACUCCUCCUUGGCAGUGAUGGAGGACAGGGAGGAGGACACUGGCGGAUUGGAGCCUGCAGUUCGACCGGGUCAUGUUGGAUUGGAUCAGCAAUGGGGAUCGCAAAUAGGAGGUUGAGUCCACCCAGUCAGAUUCCAGCAAGCAAGCGGGCUGCACGAGGGCUUUGCGGGUCUGCCGCAAAGGCCACAAAUUAGUGUUGUCCACUUUUUCAGAGAUUGCGGCCAACCGCCAGCCCGCAAAAUUAGUUAGCGACAGAAUUUGCGGGUUUGCGGCUGCCCACAACCCGCCCCACCUGCAUCGUGGCUGAGUACAACCAAGGUGGUUACGGUCCGUGCUUUUUUAUUUCGCCAAGAAACAAUGUCGUAGUCGUGCUAUGAAUAAGGAGGUCUCUUAUGUAUGCUUAUUACCUCAACGGUCCUAUCUGCGCGUAUAGCCUUGGUUACUGUAACUAAGGUCGGCUGAAUUUGCUACUACGGUCCUUGUAUUGUCAUGGAGUCAUUUGUCACUCUGUUCCUGUAACAGAUAUGGCUUGAAAAUGGUUAUAUAAGUUGUGUCUUUGUGUUU